UACGGGGGGGGCAAGCGUUGUUCGGAAUUACUGGGCGUAAAGGGCUCGUAGGCGGCCAACUAAGUCAGACGUGAAAUCCCUCGGCUUAACCGGGGAACUGCGUCUGAUACUGGAUGGCUUGAGUUUGGGAGAGGGAUGCGGAAUUCCGGGUGUAGCGGUGAAAUGCGUAGAUAUCUGGAGGAACACCGGUGGCGAAGGCGGCAUCCUGGACCAACACUGACGCUGAGUGAGCGAAAGCCAGGGGAGCAAACGGG
rnacentral:rRNA from 1 species